rnacentral:rRNA from 1 species
GAUGAACGCUGGCGGCGUGCCUAAUACAUGCAAGUCGAGCGAACAGACGAGGAGCUUGCUCCUCUGACGUUAGCGGCGGACGGGUGAGUAACACGUGGAUAACCUACCUAUAAGACUGGGAUAACUUCGGGAAACCGGAGCUAAUACCGGAUAAUAUAUUGAACCGCAUGGUUCAAUAGUGAAAGACGGUUUUGCUGUCACUUAUAGAUGGAUCCGCGCCGCAUUAGCUAGUUGGUAAGGUAACGGCUUACCAAGGCAACGAUGCGUAGCCGACCUGAGAGGGUGAUCGGCCACACGGGAACUGAGACACGGUCCAGACUCCUAAGGGAGGCAGCAGUAGGGAAUCUUCCGCAAUGGGCGAAAGCUUGACGGAGCAACGCCGCGUGAGUGAUGAAGGUCUUCGGAUCGUAAAACUCUGUUAUUAGGGAAGAACAAAUGUGUAAGUAACUAUGCACGUCUUGACGGUACCUAAUCAGAAAGCCACGGCUAACUACGUG